GCUUCUUUGAAUGGCUGCAGAGAUGUGCCUUUUCGCUUGAACUGCUACAGAGGUGCUGCAUGGCUGUCGUCAGCUCGUGUCGUGAGAUGUUGGGUUAAGUCCCGCAACGAGCGCAACCCUUACCUCUAGUUGCCAGCGAGUCAUGUCGGGAACUCUAGAGGGACUGCCCGGGUUAACCGGGAGGAAGGGGGGGAUGAUGUCAAGUCCUCAUGGCCCUUAUGUCCAGGGCUACACACGUGCUACAAUGGGCGAUACAAACCGUUGCGAGAUCGCGAGAUGGAGCCAAUCGGAGAAAGUCGCCCUCAGUUCGGAUUGUAGUCUGCAACUCGACUGCAUGAAGGUGGAAUCGCUAGUAAUCGUGUAUCACAAUGAUACGGUGAAUACGUUCCCGGGUCUUGUACACACCGA
rnacentral:rRNA from 1 species